UACAGAGGUCUCGAGCGUUGUUCGGAUUCAUUGGGCGUAAAGGGUGCGUAGGCGGCGGGGUAAGUCUGAUGUGAAAUUCCAGGGCUCAACCUUGGGACUGCAUUGGAUACUGCCUUGCUAGAGAACUGGAGAGGAGACUGGAAUUUACGGUGUAGCAGUGAAAUGCGUAGAGAUCGUAAGGAAGACCAGUGGCGAAGGCGAGUCUCUGGACAGUUACCGACGCUGAGGCACGAAGGUCAGGGGAGCAAACGGG
rnacentral:rRNA from 1 species